rnacentral:lncRNA from 1 species
UCGUCGCUGCUCGCGAUCUCCUCGCGUUCAGCCUUGUUCGGCGACGGCUCUUCCUCGUCGGACUCGUCGAUGACUUCGCGUUCCGCGCGCGCGGCGGCGGCUGGCUUGGCGGAGGUUUUAUUAGGGUUGCGUCCUCCUCCGUCGUCGUCGUCGUCGUCGCUAUCCAUGACGUCUUCGGACUCGAACGUCGCGAACGCGUUGUGCGUCGUCGACGUUGGAUUCGUUUGAUUCGGGUUCGGAUUCUUCGGGUUCGUCGGCGCCGGCGCGGGAGGCGCGAGGAGCGGCAACGGCACGCCCGCGGCCACCGCGGCGGCUUCCCUCGCGUCCUGCGUCUCGUCCCCGCCGAGCAGCAGCCGCGUCAGCGCGACGUCGGACGCGCUUGCCGUCGCGCGCGCGGGCGACGCUCCGAUUUGGUCUCCGUGCGCGCCGUUAGCGUGGCGUACCACGUCGAAGCCGGGAGGGAACGACCCCAGCGUGCUGUCCUCGUUGAACAGAAGCGACGCGAGCGGUCCCCGCGGCGGCUGCGGCAGCGGGUGCGCGUCGUUUUGGUGCGGCUGGUGCGGCUGGUGCGCGUGCUGCUGCUGCUGCUGCGGCGGCGGAUGCACGACGACCGCGGUCGGGGACCCGCCGCCGCCGCCGCCGCCGCCGCCGCCGCCGCCGCCCGAGCACAAGACGCCGGCGCCGAACAGCGACGGAUGGAACCCCACGCUCGCCGCGUUCGCACCAGAGCCGCCGCCGGAACCGCCGCCGCCCCCUCCCGGAGCGGUCGGCUCCGCGACGCGCGGCGUCCUCGGCACGCUCCGAUGCGCGUCCACGGUCGCCGCGGUGUGGAACGACGGGUGGAUCAUGUUGAUCGCGGCGCGACUCAAGCUCGGGUGCGCGGUGCCCGCCGCGGGGGGCGGAUCUGGGUGCGCCUCGCGCCACAGACGCUCGAGGCACGACGGGUGCCGGUGCGGCAGGAAACGCGCGCAGAUCGACUCCCAAUCCUCGGAGCCCUGCCUCGCGCCCAUGCGGAACAGCGCCUCUUGGAUCGUCGCGAUCUCGUUCGCCAUGAGCGGCUGCAGGACUUUCUGUUUCGCCGUCUUCACCGCGUUGGGGCCCUUGCUCCGCGCGGUGCUGCACAGGUUCUUCUGUCUCUGCACGAUCGCCUUCACCCCCUUCGUGGGAAGCAGCUGCCGGUGAAUCUUCUCCCACUCCAACCCGUACUGCUCGAUCCCCUGCGCGAGGAGCGCGUCCUCGCUCGGGAGCCACGCGAGCUUCUCAGGGUUUAGGGUUUGCUUCAAGUCGGGCACGCGCGGAAGCAACCUCGGGUUGGCGCACGACGCCAAGACGCGAGACGCGUCCACGAUCACGCGCGGGAUGCGGACGUAAAACGGCACCAUCUCGUGCGGCGGCGGCUUCCGUCGACACCGCACGCCGUCCUCCUUGCUCCAGUCCGUCGCCGCGGUCCGCGGGUCCGCGCCCUCGCCGUGCGGGCGGAACAACUCGGACAGACGCGCGAACGCGUGCUCCGCGGAAGCCGCCGCCGCCUUGCCCGCCUCCGCGUCUAAACCCGCGGCGCUCGGCGGCGGCGCGAUCGCCGGCCCCGCCGGGACGGGCCACCGUUGCCAGCCGCGCAUGACGUCCAUGACGAACCUCUGCGCGCCGCGCAGGGGCGCGACGUCCAGAACCGUGUACACGUUCUGCCCCGGGGGUUUCGGCCACCACGGCGCCGAGUCCGUCCCCGCCGACGGCGGUGCUCUGAAACAGCUCGCCGCGUGCGGCGGAUCUUUC